rnacentral:rRNA from 1 species
UCGAGAAUCAUUCACAAUGGGGGAAACCCUGAUGGUGCGACGCCGCGUGGGGGAGCGAAGGUCUUCGGAUUGUAAACCCCUGUCAAGUGGGAGCAAGCAGAAAUGUUGAUAGUACCACUAGAGGAAGAGACGGCUAACUCUGUGCCAGCAGCCGCGGUAAUACAGAGGUCUCAAGCGUUGUUCGGAAUCACUGGGCGUAAAGAGUACGUAGGCGGCUAGGUAAGUCGUGUGUGAAAGGCAGGGGCUCAACCUCUGGAUUGCACGCGAUACUGCUUGGCUUGAGAAAUGGAGGGGAAACUGGAAUUCUCGGUGUAGCAGUGAAAUGCGUAGAUAUCGAGAGGAACACUCGUGGCGAAGGCGAGUUUCUGGACAUUUUCUGACGCUGAGGUACGAAGGCUAGGGGAGCGAAAG